rnacentral:rRNA from 1 species
UACGGAGGGUGCAAGCGUUGUUCGGAAUUACUGGGCGUAAAGCGCGUGUAGGCGGACCGGUAAGUUGGGAGUGAAAGCCCUGGGCUCAACCCAGGAAGUGCUUCCAAUACUGCCGGCCUUGAGUUCCGGAGAGGGUGGUGGAAUUCCCGGUGUAGAGGUGAAAUUCGUAGAUAUCGGGAGGAACACCAGUGGCGAAGGCGACCACCUGGACGAGAACUGACGCUGAGACGCGAAAGCGUGGGGAGCAAACAGG